rnacentral:lncRNA from 13 species
CACAGCAGUGACUCCGCACACUCUCAACGUAACCUGCAUCCUCACAGAGGAAAAAGCUCUCACCGGAAGAAGACUAAAGGGGGCCACUCGUCCAAGCGGCACCACCAUGGGGUUCGGGGACAGGCCCAUCACCAGAGCCAGUCUGGCUCCCCGGGGCGGCACCGCCACACAUCUGGGUCAGGCAGGAAGAAGAGUGAGUCUCGGGGGCGCGGUGGCAUGGGGGUCCGACAGCGUAGCAGCUCUUGGAGCUCCGGACGCUCUUCAUCACGCUCCGGCUCCAGAGAGAGAGGCCCCAGCAAGGCCAAGUCCCCCCACCCCCAUGCCAGACAGAACAACUCCAGGGAGAGAGACAGCCCUCACCACUCUGAUGCUGACCGUGCUCGCCGUCGCUCCAGAAGCUAUUCUCCCAUCAGGAAGAGGAGACGAGACUCUCCCAGCUUCAUGGAGGCUCGCAGGAUCACCAGGAAGGUUCCCCCGUCUCUCUACUCCCCCCCCGAAGCCAAGACAACGGAAUACUGCUGAGCUGCAGGCUAGGUUACCGUGGUAA